CGAUAGCGUAUAUUUAAGUUGUUGCAGUUAAAACGCUCGUAGUUGGAUUUCUGGUGGGAGCGAUCGGUCUGGCGCUUAGCGCGAGUACUUGCAUCGUCUCCGGCCAUCCUUGGGGAGAGUCUGUCUGGCAUUAAGUUGUCGGGCAGAGGAUCCUCAUCGUUUACUGUGAAAAAAUUAGAGUGUUCAAAGCAGGCUUAUGCCGUUGAAUAUAUUAGCAUGGAAUAAUAAGAUAGGACUUUGGUACUAUUUUGUUGGUUUGCGCACCAAAGUAAUGAUUAAUAGGGACAGUUGGGGGUAUUCGUAUUCCGUUGUCAGAGGUGAAAUUCUUGGAUUUACGGAAGACGAACUACUGCGAAAGCAUUUACCAAGGAUGUUUUCAUUAA
rnacentral:rRNA from 1 species